rnacentral:misc_RNA from 1 species
GGGUAAUCGGUCUUCAACUUCCUUCAAACCAACAGCAGCUAAAGUUUCGGUUACAAGCUGUGCAAUUUGAUCCUCUGGCAUAGCUGAAUUCUCAUAUAGCAAGAAACCAACAUUUUCACGAACAGUUAAUGAAUCAAAAAGCGCAGCACUCUGAAACACUAAGCCAAUCCUAAGCCCAGAAAUUUCGUCAUCACUCACUAAUCCAUUACGCAGUUUACCUCGGAUUAAGACUUCUCCUUUAUCAGGAGCAAGUAGGCCAGCCAUUAUCUUUAAGAUUGUUGAUUUCCCUGUGCCAGAAGGCCCAAUAAUUCCAACAGCCUCACCAUGUCUGAUCUUUAAGCUCAC